UUAAAUAUCAAGUCAACGCCAAGGCUUUCAAUGAUUGACUCUAUCUUUCUCCUUGUGGGAUCAUGUGGCUGUCUCCUUCCAUCUCAGUCAUCAAUGGUGUAAACUGUAAAGCACGAAAAUCCAAGUAAGAUAGAAAGGUAACAGAACUGUUUCUCUUUCUAUACUUAAUUUACGAAAAAAAAAACUUAAAUGUAAACUUGCUCUAACCAGCGUAUGCUGGAAUCGGAUUGGUAAGUCGUCCAAAAACAGAAAAAGUUUUACAAGGAAGAGAACUUUACCCAAUGAGAUAGUAUAUGCUUUUGGUUUUCAAAAUAUCGGUAUCUCAUACAUCCCGUUUUGAAAAUUCUUAGAUGAGGUAACAAUUGCGAUGACUCAAAGAGGGACAUUUGUAUCUAUAUCCGCUUUUUGGGUCACGUUUUAAUUUGUGUCCGCUUUGCAAAAAAAAAAAUUGCAAGCGUACUCACUUUUUCGCGUAACUUCAGCAUACGGGGCUGAAGUAGUAAAGACAAUUACGGAAAAUUUCAGUAUUCUAAUAGACGAGACUGAAGUAGCAAGUGUGUUGAAGUUUUUGUUUAUAAUUGCUGAACUUAAGCAUAGUAGCUAAAGUUUUGUUCUCUAUUUGCUGAAAUUUUUAUUUGUAAUUGCUGAAGUUUUUGUUUUUGUAACUGACGAACUUCAGCUCUAGAGUUGAAGUUUUUAUUUUUGUAAUUGGCGAACUUCAGCUCUAGAGCUGAAGUUUUUUGUUUUUGUAACCGACGAACUUCAGCUCUAGAGCUGAAGUUUUUGUUUUGUAAUUGUCGAACUUCAGCUCUAGAGCUGAAGUUUUUAUUUGUAAUUCGCAAACUUCGGCCAUUUAAAUAAAAACAAACAGAGAAAGAGUUAGAUUUUUAAAAUGUAAAGCAACACCACUUCCACAGCAAUAAGAAUAUUUUUUUUUAAAAAAAAAACUCGGAUGUUGGAAGAUGCAAGAUGUAAAGAUUCAGUAUCUCAAAACAAAGAAACAGUCAUCUAUCACAACAGAUAAUAUUAAUAGAAAAUGAGCAUAAGAUCAUAGCUAUUCUAGACCGACAGGUUCGCUAGUUGAGGUCGAAGAGUUUUCCUUCGGUUCGUGUUCAGUGGAGAGGUCAGCCUCCUGAGGCAUCGACCUGGGAGUCCGAGUCCGAUAUGCGGGACCGUUAUCCUCACCUUUUCCCCGACUCAGGUACUUCCUUCUUAUGUCCGUUCGAGGACGAACGGUUGUUUUAGAGGUGGAGAAUGUGACGACCCAAAGGGUCAUCACCGGUUUUCUCCCUUUUUUCGUGCUUUCGAGGCCUUGAAAACCUCACCUUUAGUUACCUCGAUUUGCGUGUAUAGUCCGGGCGCAUAACCGGAAAAGCUUAUGUGCUAAAUUAUGUGAAAUUUGAUAAAUUGUGGCUUUAAAAUGGUCAAAGUUAACUUUGGUCAACAUUUUGGGUAAACGGACCCAGUCCCGAACCCGUGAUUUGACGGUCCUGGAGGAUCCGUAGAAAAAUAUGGGACUCGGGCGUAUGCCCAGAAUCGAAAUCCGAGGUCCCGAGCCCGAGAAAUGAAUUUUUAAAAGAAAUUAUUUUUCUGAAAUUUAUUUGGAAAUUUGAAAUGAAAAUGAAUUAGAAAGCAUUGGUAUCGGGCCCAUAUUUUGGUUUCGGCGCCCGGUACAGGUCUUAUAUGUGGUUUAAGCGCUUUCUGUGAAAUUUGGUUGAAAUCGGACGUCGUUUGACGUGAUUUAGACUUGAAUUCCUAAGUUUGAAUGUUUAUGAAGUUUGAUGAAAAAGUGAUGAUUUUGAGGUUUGAUUCCUCGUUUAUGAUGUUAUUUUGUCGAUUUAAUCGCAUGGUUAAGUUCGUAGGAGGUUGUUGAGUUAGUGUGUGUGUUUGGUUAGGAGCCUCGAGAGCUCGAAAGUGUUUCGGAAGUGUUUGUGAGUGGUUUUGGCCUUAGAAAAGUUGCAGAAAAUAGCAGUUCUGGUGUUCUGUUAUCCAGUGCUAUGCGAUCGCAUAGGCCUUUCCGCGAUCGCAUAGAGUGAGUUUCCAGGUGCCCUGUUUGUUCUAUGCGGUCGCAUAGAUCCACCUACGAUCGCGUAUAGUAGCCGCCAUUUGUUAUAUGCGAUCGCAUCCCCUUCCGCGAUCGCAAUGCAUAAAAACCAAACCCGGAAUGGAGCCCUUUUUUUCUAUGCGUUCUCAGCAGCCCUUCCGCGAUCGCAAUGACCAGCUUCCCCUUACCCUAUGCGAUCGCAUUACCUUCUUCGCGAUCGCAUAGGGUAUUUUUGCCCAGCGAUUUUAAAUGCCUAAAAUAGAACAGUGACGAGGUUUAGUCCAUAUUUCACACGAGUUCUUCUUCUCCACAGCUCUUGAGCGAAUUUUUGAGCACUUCUUCAUCAAAGUCUUUUGGGUAAGUAAUUUCCCACAUAUUUCCUUCACUCUUCUUCAUUAAUUACUGAAAUCUUAAACCUAAAUCAUGAAAUCAAAGUAGAAAUUAGGGGUUUUGGGUAGAUUUAGAAUUUUGGGAAUUUUGAGUGAUUCAACCUCAAUUUGGGGUCGGAUCUUAAAAUAAAUUAUAUAUUUGAACUCGUGGGGUUAUGGGUAAUCAGGUUUUGGUCUGAGCCUCGUGUUUGUUCUAACUUUAGUUAGAGGGAAUAUGAUUAGAGUGUUGUUUGCUAUUUGCUAAUUGUUGAGUACGGUGUAUAGACAUGGUGACGAGUAUCUAUACACCGGAGUCUAGCAUGACCGUGAGUCUUAUUUGUGUUUAUUCGGAUUUUGUGAUACCUUUUCCUUGUUAAAUUAAUAAAUUUCAUAUAAUGUGAAGAGUUUGAGGAAGAAUUAUGAUUUGUACAUUCUUGGAGCAUUCGCUCGAGUAUAUCAUAAAGCGUGAAAGUAUACAAAAUGAUUGAACCCCUUUGGAGCGUUGGCUUAGGUGGUAAAGUGAGAUAAGAGGUAAAAGUAAAAGAAAGUGAAAGAAUUAUUGAAUUGCUCCCUUGCCGGAAUGCUUGUUGCUUUGUUGACUAUCUCCCUUGCUGGGAUGCUUGUUGCUUUGUUGACAAUCUCCCUUGCCGGGAUUUCUAUCAAUAUUUGUCUACUCCCUUGCCCCUUGUUUGUGAUUAUUGCUUGGGUGAGGAAGAGUGAUAAAUCACGAAGGGUGAUGUCGUGCAUUGUUUGCUAUUGUGAGGAAAGAGUGAUAAAGCACGAAGGGUGAUGCUGUGCAUUGUUUGCUAUUGUGAGGAAAGAGUGUAAAGCAUGAAGGGUGAUGCCGUGCCGCACGAUGUACCAUUCCGUGCCGAUUUUAUUGAUUAUAUAGUGAGGAAAGAGAGUAAAAGCACGAAGGGUGAUGCCGUGCAUAUUUUAUUUAUAUGAUUACUUUGGUGAGGACGAGAGUAAAAGCACGAAGGGUGAUGCCGUACAUUUGUUGCUUUCUGAUUCUUUGUUGAUAUCCGAGUUAUAUUGUUAUAUUUUUUUUCAUCACUUGUUCUUAUUUGAUUUACUUCGAGGUUAUAGAUUUCCUUACCCUAUUUGCCUUGUGAUUGUUAUUUGGGUGAGGAAGAGCGUAGAGCACGAAGGGUGAUGCCGUGUACUAUUUUGGUGAGGACGAGAGUAAAAGCACGAAGGGUGAUGCCGUACAAAUUGUUGAUAUUUGAUUCUUGUUGACAUUCUGGCUUUGUUACUUCUUUCUGUUAUUGAGGAUUUCUAUUUGGAACUGUUAGCUCCCCAUAGCAUGCUCUCCCCUCUUAGCUGUUUAAGUUUUGUAUAUUUCCUUUUAUUGCAUAUAUCUGCACAGGUUAUUUUUGGUAGGUCCUGUCUAGCCUCGUCACUACUUCGCCGAGGUUAGGCCAGGCACUUACCAGCACAUGUGGUCGGUUGUGCUGAUGCUACACUCUGUGCAUCUUUUUGCACAGAUCCAAGAGCAGCUUUUGGACCUCAGCAGUAGGAUUUGAUCGGGAGCUGACUUCAGUCCAGAGACACCAUGGUAGCCUUGCUAACAUCCGCAGGCCCGGAGUCUCUCUCUCUUUAUUCAGUUUGUUAUCUUUUGUACCCAAACAAACAGUUUAUAAUUUUCUUUCAGACAAUUGUAUUUAGUAAAUCUUAGAAGUUCGUGAGUAUUGUGACACUAAUCCUGGGUAGAGGAUUAUGUUAAACUUUCCGC
rnacentral:lncRNA from 1 species